UAGGGAAUCUUCCACAAUGGGUGCAAGCCUGAUGGAGCAAUGCCGCGUGAGUGAAGAAGGGUUUCGGCUCGUAAAACUCUGUUGUUGAAGAAGAACGGGUGUCAGAGUAACUGUUGACAUCGUGACGGUAUUCAACCAGAAAGCCACGGCUAACUACGUGCCAGCAGCCGCGGUAAUACGUAGGUGGCAAGUGUUGUCCGGAUUUAUUGGGCGUAAAGCGAGCGCAGGCGGUUAUUUAAGUCUGAUGUGAAAGCCUUCGGCUUAACCGAAGAAGUGCAUCGGAAACUGGAUGACUUGAGUGCAGAAGAGGACAGUGGAACUCCAUGUGUAGCGGUGGAAUGCGUAGAUAUAUGGAAGAACACCAGUGGCGAAGGCGGCUGUCUAGUCUGUAACUGACGCUGAGGCUCGAAAGCAUGGGUAGCAAACAGG
rnacentral:rRNA from 1 species